CCUGCCAUAGGACAGGCUGAGGCUGAGUCUCAGUGUUGCCCUGUUCAGUCUGAGGCAAGUGGGAUUUAUUUUAUUCCUUAUGGGGGCUUUCACAGCUUUAUGGCUGUUGGAUAUUUAUGUCCCCAAACUUGCAGCAAGUUUGGUGAAGGCCCCUAAAUUUAAUUAAAUUUAGGAUUUUUAUAAUCUUUUGGCAGAGAAGGCUCUAUAUUAAUAUUCCUGUUUGACUGUGGUGUUGUUAGAUAAACAAAACUGAAUGUUAGGCAUUUAUUAGUCCUACUAUAGAAACAUUAAAAUUUUCUGAAAUUAAUCUUACAUGUUAUAUAGUGUUUUGACUGCCUCUACUUAGUUGCCUUCAUUUGGAGGCAUGAAAUUUGUUCAGUUAUGCUAUAUUUGUAUUUAUGACCUAUGAAAAAUUGAAUUACCCAGCUUUUUAACUGAAACAUUGCAUUAGACCUUAGAUACAUGUUUGAUAAUUAAAGUAAUUUAAUAUUAAAAAUUGCAUUUAAAAUGAAACUUUUGUUAUCUAUAAAUAUUUGAUAUUUUAAAGUCACCACAUUAGAGCAAAUGUUAAUGUAGAGCCCCUACAUUACAUGGGGAGGGGGGAAGAGAAUAGAAAUUUGAUUUUAUAAAGGCUACUAAAAGAAAGGAAAGAAAUUUUGAGCAUAACAGACAUCAGUUUGAAAGAUUAGUGGCUAAUGUGUUUAAUCAACCAAAAAAGUUGGAAAAUGUGGUAUAUUUUAAAGUUAGUAAUGUGCUUUAAAAUUGCAAUAUUGAGAUAAUUUUGAGGUUUCUUUUCAGGCUAAUUGAAUAGAGUCCCAAUCCAUUCUAACUAAAUUUUACUUGGUGAGACAAAAGCUUAAACCUAGAUUAACAUCUUUAUUCAUAAGUUUUGGCCCACCAUUCUGCCUCUUGGAAAGCCUUUUUUUGAGCAACAAAGUUAAAAGCAGUUUAAGCACUUAAGAAAUGUUGGGUUUUAUUUCUCUUUAGCAUUUUUAAAUGUGAAAUUAAAAUAUUAAAUUAUUACCAAAUCGCCAAAUUGUUUUUAAGGUUUUAUAAAGAUGAUUUUUCACUCUAGUUUUUAGUGGAUGAUAAAAAAAAUUUUUAACUUUUUCUUUAGCAACAAACUUACUGCUUCUGAUUUCAUUAUUGCUGUUUGAAUAAUUAUGAUCGACAAAUCUAAAAAGAUAACCUGAUACAGGAGGAGUCAGAUAUUUGGCUCCUUCCAUAGCAUUAGCUAUUAUUUUGUGUUAAUACUAAUGUCUAGAAAUUGUUCUAAUACUUACUAAUGCCAGAACUUUAGAUAAGUCUGAAUCAGCUGAGAGCUCUUAUAUCCUCCUUAGGAACUAUUCCUGUGGUAUGAUGGAUUUUGCUACUCUUUUAUCUUAAAGGGUGGUAUUUCAUAAGGGAGACCCAAAGUCUAUUUUUGAAAAAAGAAUAUAAUUAAUGCAUUAAAAAGUAACUUUGUAAUUUGUGCUUUAGUAGAUAAGUAGCAAUUUAGAGAUAAGACUUAACUAAUGGUUCAGGUAUCUGCAGCAUCUGUUGGUAGCAUCAGAUAAGUGUUAUGGUUAUUUGUUUACAAAGACAGUGUUUUGUUUUAAUAAAAUGAACAGUAGAUGUCUUCAAGCAUAAUGAUAAUGCUUGUUAUGUAGUCAGGUAUAGGAACCCUCUUACACAUUAUUUAUAUUUCCUGUCACUUUGUACAAUAAUCAACCAUUGUAUUUUUAAACGGGUAUCCUCCUUUGAUCUAGUUGUGGGUCAUCCAAUUCUGAAUGCUCUGGAUUUGAUUUUCUUUUCCUGUAAGUCUUCAAGUUAACAUAAUUUUGGCUAAGAGGAGGCAUGAAAUCUUAAGCUUUCAGAUUUUGCCUCUGAUACAGUUGUUAAUAGAAAUACUUGAUGGAACUUUGUAAAUAAUGUUUUGUUAAUUGCUUUUCUGGCAGUUAACUGCUAUGAUUUGAAUUUUCCCCUUUCAUGUAACUAGAAUCAUUUACUGUCAUUGUGUGGGUUUCAUAGUGUAGGAGUCACCUGAUUAUGCCUUAUAUAAUAUGUAAAGUGUCCCAUUUAAAAUCAGAAGCACUUAGCUUUUUAUAGCAUUUUUAGUACAGUGCCUUGCACUUGUUGGUGCUUAUAAUUUUGUGGUUGAUGCUGAAUUACUAAAAUAUUUUCCAUAACAAACCCUUCACCCCCCAUUAUGGAUCAUAUUUAGAUGAAUGUGUAAAGAAUGGGGAAGGGAAAGCUUCUGUUUGGACUGCUCUGACAUUUGCAGAUCAUCAUCUUCAUAUCAUAGUAUUCAAGCAUUUGUAGUUUUUUCCUGAACCUAGCAUUGGUUGGAAAUGAAGAGUGAGUGUGGCUUGUGAAAGAAUGCUGCACUGUAUAAUGAUCCAUUGGAAUGUUGCUGUCUUAUUAACAGAAGCAGAAUGCCUUUGUAAAUAGAUUUGUUCUUGGCCCUAAGGAAGAAGUGUCCUCUCCCCCUUCCCUGCCUUUCCUCCUAAUGUUAGAGUAUCUGCUACUCUAAAAGUCUGUUAAAGUCAACCCAGCUUGUUUAUGAAAAAUCUGAUGUGUAACUUUAAAAAAAAAAAAGAAAGUGAUUUUAAGACCUAAAUAUAGAUCUUAAGAGGAUACUUUCUGGUGGUUAACUAGGGUGCACCUACUUUGAGGCUAUAAUGGUGGGUGCUGGCCAGUGCUUAUUCAAGAAUAACAGAUUAGUUGAAGGUUUUCUUGAUUGAUAGGUAGAAGGAUUUUAAGUUUUUAGGAGCUUGGAGGUUAAAUACCAUAUAUGUAAUCAAAUUACUCAGGAUAACUGCAAGGGACAUGCGUGUAAGUAAAAUCUACCUUAGUUAUUAUUACUUAUCACUUUCGUUUCAUUGAAAGCUAUUUUUUGAUGCUAAAUUGCAAUUUAUAGUUAUGGGUGCAGGUGUGUGAAACAUUUGACAAAAUACAAUUUUGCCAUAUGAGUAGAUUGGCAAAUAAUUUUGGCAUUUGUUCUGGUCCUCUAGUAUCACUGACACACUAGGAGUUUCACCACUAAGGUGAUUUAAAUUUAGAGGGUCUCCAAGAUUUGCCUUUCGUGGUUGAAUUUAGCAGUGAGUCCUCUGCUGUCCAAUGUGGACUAAAUAAUCAUGGUGAUCUUCCCUUAAGCCCAGCAAACCUUUGGUAUUUAUAUUGUUUUGGACAGAUCCUCUGUGUCUGGAUUUUAAAUCACAUAGUUGGAGGCAGAGAUGGACUGCUUUCUGCAUCCUACUAAAGGAGUUUUUUAGAAACGGUGAUUUUCUGUAUUGGCCCGACAUUGGCAAGACGUUUUCAUAUAGGGAAGAGUUCCUACUCAUACUUUGCAUUUGGUUUUGUGUCCUCCAAAGUAAUGACAUAAUUUUUUGUCAUAUUGGGAAAAUUAUUUUCAUCUUAACAUAAGUUUUCCUUAAUAUUUGCUUCAUACACAGUUCAACAUUUUAAACUGGAAGAAAGGAGGAGUAUCAGUAUAAAGACAUGGAGGAAGUAACAGUGAUAUCAUCAUCUACUAUCAUCACAGAUUAAUAAGACUACCUAAUAACUAAAGUGGGCAAGGGGAAAAACAAUAUAGGGGAGAAAUAGAGAUUUUCCCUUUAUGGUAGAAAAGACCUCUAACCAAAAUUAUAUAGCAGAUCUUUUUUUUUUUUAAUUGAAAUUAAACAGUAGAAAUCCCAGUUCUGUCAUCUUAAGUUUUGACAUUUUAAAAGAAGUCACUUGUCUGUGGUGUAGAAUUUUCUUUAAUUUAGAAGUUUUCUCUUUAUCUUGAGAUUCUGCUCCUUUAGAAGCAAUUGCUUUUAUUAAGUCAACAUAAAUAUCAGAAUAUGCAAAUUAUAUCAUUGGUUAGAAGGAAUCAUUUCAUCAUUCGGAUCAGAUCACACCAAAUUUAAUAGCCCAUGUAAAGUAAUUUUGUGGCAUUUAGAGAAAUAACUAAUGUUUAAAUAGCAGGCUCUGAGGAAAUUUAAUGCACAUUGACUUUAUAACUAUGGAUUGAACUCCUCAGUUUAAUACAAUUUGUGUUUUUGUUAACUAGCAGCAGAAUUUCAGCAUUUGCUACUUACUGGUAGAGAAGAAAAAUCCCACAGCACUGCCAGUACAGGUUAGUUUAAUCUGUAAGUACCUGAUGUUCCUAUUUGAAAUAUUGUUUUCAACAUAUCCAUAUAACCACACAAGGAAAAAAAAAGCCUUCUAGUUAAAUAUGACUACAUCUAAUAUUGGCUGCUUUGGACAUGUAAAAACACACACUUGGGGGCAAAAGCAGUUCUAGACCCGCUGAUUUUAGGUCAUCAUAAUGACGCUCCCUUAUGAUCUGGCUCUUUGUGGUUGACCCAAAAUAGAUGUGCUCUCCAUGAAAGGAAAAGGCAGUAGGGGUUUUGUUUGGCCAAGGCUGGAGUACUGGAAACCAGAGCUUGGAUUCAUCUGUUGUUUGAGCCUCUCUGCAUUCUUUCUCGCAUUCUCCCUUUGUUUAAGAUAACACUUUUAUAGUGUGGCUUGAAGUCUUGAAAAAAUGUUCACUCUCUACAGCUUAGGAACACCAAAUGGUUGUACAGGCAUAAGAUAGAAAAUGUUAAAAUAGUGUACAUUUUGACUAUAGAUGUUUUAGUUUUGCUACAAACAAGCAUUAACUUUUUGCUUAUUUUACAUUAGAAUAUACCUCAAUUUUAUGUUACUGUUUGACUUUUAGGUACUUUUUACCUUUGUACUAAGAACAGCAUAAAACCUCAUUCGUUACAUCUAAGUUAAUGUAAAACUCCACAUCAGGAAAUUCAGGCAGAUGCUGCAAGUGUGAUAACUUUGGGUGGGAAAUAAUUAUAUGUAUAUAUUUUAACAUUCAGUUUUUUAUUCUACCAAGGGCUUGAAAUUAUGCUAACCAUGUUCAGUUUUUUUUCUCUUUAAAGUAUUGCUUAUUUUUGGUUCUUAAAGAAGAGUAUGUGUGACUUAUUCUGGGAAUUGGGAGUGGUAUGAAGAAAUGAAUCUUUAAGCAACAUAGAUAAGCUAUAUAAAUAUGGACCUUAAAAUACGGGGAGACUACAAAGCACUUAUUCUUCAGAGGCUUAAUUUCCCCUCCUCCCCUUCCCCAAUCUUGAGCUUUGAUUAUAAUGUCUUCCUUUCACAUUCAUUACUGUGGGAAAUUUGGGGGGAGUGGGAGGUUGGGAGGGGAGUACAAAGAUUCAUAGGACUUCAUCUCUGGAAGCUACAUUUUUUGAAUUUUUUAACUUAAGGUUUUUCCCAUAUAGAAAUUGGGAAAACUUAAAUUUUAAAAUAGAUAUUUACUUAGUCUUGUGCUCCUGCUAAAUUGGAGUUAUAACUAUUUGAAAACAGUUGCCUUUUCAUGAUUUCAUAGACAAGUCUUGUUUGGUUAAAAUAAAUCUAGGGUUAUCUGCUGGUAAUGUGUUUUUUUUUUUUUUAAUAUUUACUGUUGUUUCUUAUACGAAAUUACCUGAGGGCAAAGGUUCCCUGCCUUUCACAGUUUAAACUGUAUUUAAGAAAUGGAGUAGAUACAGUGGAGAUUUGGUUUUCCUUAAAACUAUCUCUAUACGAGCUGUCUUCCUGCUUACAGCUUGGUUAAUUGCCAGCAUUUGCUAAAGGUGCUUUCCUCUCAUGAAUUCCCUGCUGUGAUUUUGUGAACCCUUGACAGAAAUGACACUUUGAAGUUUUUUGGUAUACAGAAAUGGUGGUUGUGCAAAAACAAACAAACCCUCAGAAAAUAAGAAUUUUCUGAAUGUGUUGGAAUUAUAUCUCCUGGAACUGACACUAAAUGAACAAAUCCUGACUCUUUGGGUGGUGUCUGUAAGAUUUGCAAUGAAAUAAAACCUGAAAGCACUGUGUCCUUUCCUAGAUUAAGUAUUACAGAAAGUGCAAAUGUGGUAAGUAUGUGUCUUUAACUGCAUGUAAUGGUUGCCAUGACCAGCAACCAAAUUACAUAAUUAACGAAAAUUUAGAAUUCCUGAUUUGGGACUCAUCUUUGUAUAUGUAUCUAACAUUUACAGAAGUGUGUGUGUACAAUGAUUAAAUGAGAUGGAUUUA